rnacentral:rRNA from 1 species
UUUACGGAGAGUUUGAUCCUGGCUCAGGACGAACGCUGGCGGCGUGCUUAACACAUGCAAGUCGAACGCUGAAGCUCCUUGCUUGCAGGGGGUGGAUGAGUGGCGAACGGGUGAGUAACACGUGAGUAACCUGCCCCGAACUCUGGGAUAAGCGCUGGAAACGGUGUCUAAUACUGGAUAUGUCCCAUCAUCGCAUGGUGUGUGGGUGGAAAGAUUUAUCGGUUCGGGAUGGACUCGCGGCCUAUCAGCUGGAUGGUGGGGUAAUGGCUCACCAUGGCGACGACGGGUAGCCGGCCUGAGAGGGUGACCGGCCACACUGGGACUGAGACACGGCCCAGACUCCUACGGGAGGCAGCAGUGGGGAAUAUUGCACAAUGGGCGCAAGCCUGAUGCAGCAACGCCGCGUGAGGGAUGACGGCCUUCGGGUUGUAAACCUCUUUUGUCGGGGAAGAAGCCGUGAGGUGACGGUACCCGGAGAAAAAGCACCGGCUAACUACGUGCCAGCAGCCGCGGUAAUACGUAGGGUGCAAGCGUUGUCCGGAAUUAUUGGGCGUAAAGAGCUCGUAGGCGGCUUGUCGCGUCUGCCGUGAAAUCCUCAGGCUCAACCUGAGGUCUGCGGUGGGUACGGGCAGGCUAGAGUGCGGUAGGGGAGAUUGGAAUUCCUGGUGUAGCGGUGGAAUGCGCAGAUAUCAGGAGGAACACCGAUGGCGAAGGCAGAUCUCUGGGCCGUAACUGACGCUGAGGAGCGAAAGCAUGGGGAGCGAACAGGAUUAGAUACCCUGGUAGUCCAUGCCGUAAACGUUGGGAACUAGAUGUAGGGCCUGUUCCACGGGUUCUGUGUCGUAGCUAACGCAUUAAGUUCCCCGCCUGGGGAGUACGGCCGCAAGGCUAAAACUCAAAGGAAUUGACGGGGGCCCGCACAAGCGGCGGAGCAUGCGGAUUAAUUCGAUGCAACGCGAAGAACCUUACCAAGGCUUGACAUAUAGGAGAACCCCGCAGAGAUGCGGGACUCUUUGGACACUUCUAUACAGGUGGUGCAUGGUUGUCGUCAGCUCGUGUCGUGAGAUGUUCGGUUAAGUCCGGCAACGAGCGCAACCCUCGUCCUAUGUUGCCAGCACGUGAUGGUGGGAACUCAUGGGAUACUGCCGUGGUCAACACGGAGGAAGGUGGGGAUGACGUCAAAUCAUCAUGCCCCUUAUGUCUUGGGCUUCACGCAUGCUACAAUGGCCGGUACAAAGGGCUGCGAUACCGCAAGGUGGAGCGAAUCCCAAAAAGCCGGUCUCAGUUCGGAUUGGGGUCUGCAACUCGACCCCAUGAAGUCGGAGUCGCUAGUAAUCGCAGAUCAGCAACGCUGCGGUGAAUACGUUCCCGGGCCUUGUACACACCGCCCGUCAAGUCAUGAAAGUCGGUAACACCCGAAGCCGGUGGCCUAACCCCUUGUGGGAGGGAGUCGUCGAAGGUGGGACUGGUGAUUAGGACUAAGUCGUAACAAGGUAGCCGUACCGGAAGGUGCGGCUGGAUCACCUCCUUUCUA